rnacentral:rRNA from 1 species
UACAGAGGGGGCAAGCGUUGUUCGGAAUUACUGGGCGUAAAGAGCGCGCAGGCGGUCGUUCAAGUCGCGUGUGAAAGCCCCCCGGCUCAACUGGGGAGGGUCACGCGAUACUGAUCGACUCGAAGGCAGGAGAGGGAAGUGGAAUUCCCGGUGUAGUGGUGAAAUGCGUAGAUAUCGGGAGGAACACCAGUGGCGAAGGCGACUUCCUGGCCUGUUCUUGACGCUGAGGCGCGAAAGCUAGGGGAGCAAACGGGG